rnacentral:rRNA from 1 species
GAUGAACGCUGGCGGCGUGCCUAAUACAUGCAAGUCGAGCGAACGGACGAGAAGCUUGUUUCUCUGAUGUUAGCGGCGGACGGGUGAGUAACACGUGGAUCACCUUCCUAUAAUACUGGGAUAACUUCGUGAAACCGGAGCUAAUCCCGGAUAAUAUUUUGAACCGCAUGGUUCAAGAGUGAAAGACGGCCUUGCUGUUACUUAUAGAUGGAUCCGUGCUGCAUUGGUUAGUUGGUAAGGGCACGGCCUACCAAGGCAACGUGGCAUAGCCGGCCUGAAAGGAUGAUCGGCCACACUGGAACUGAGACACGGUCCAGACUCCUACGGGAGGCAGCAGUAGGGAAUCUUCGGCAAUGGGCGAAAGCCUGACGGAGCAACGCCGCGUGAGUGAUGAAGGUCUUCGGGUCGUAAAGCUCUGUUAUUAGGGAAGAACAUAUGUGUAAGUAACUGUGCCCAUCAUGACGGUACCUAAUGAGAAAGCCACGGCUAACUACGUG